UACGUAGGGUGCAAGCGUUGUCCGGAAUUAUUGGGCGUAAAGAGCUCGUAGGCGGUUUGUCGCGUCGAAUGUGAAAUCCCGGGGCUCAACCCCGGGCCUGCAUUCGAUACGGGCAGACUAGAGUUCGGUAGGGGAGUCUGGAAUUCCUGGUGUAGCGGUGAAAUGCGCAGAUAUCAGGAGGAACACCGGUGGCGAAGGCGGGUCUCUGGGCAAUAACUGACGCUGAGGAGCGAAAGCGUGGGGAGCGAACAGG
rnacentral:rRNA from 1 species